AUGGCAACAGAAUCCACAACAACAAUGACUUUUAUCAGCAUCUUCAUCUGGGCACUUGUCAUCUGCACUCAGGAAUCCAGUGGACAGUAUACUGUGACUCAGACUCCAGCAGUGAAAUCUGUUCUCCCAGGAGACACAGUCGCUCUGAGCUGUAAAGUCAGCAGCGCAGUGUACAGUAACAACAACCUAGCCUGGUACCAACAGAAACCUGGAGAAGCUCCCAAACUCCUGAUCUAUGCUGCAAGUAGCCUUCAGUCUGGGAUCCCAACUCGUUUCAGUGGCAGUGGAUCUGGGACUGACUUCACUCUGACCAUCAGUGGAGUCCAGGCUGAAGAUGCAGGAGAUUACUACUGUCAGAGUUUCCACUACCCCAGCAGUAGCUGCUGUGUUCACACAGUGCUACACACCC